rnacentral:rRNA from 1 species
UACAGAGGGUGCAAGCGUUGUUCGGAAUUACUGGGCGUAAAGCGUUUGUAGGCGGCGCUGAGAGUCCUAGGUGAAAUCCCCGAGCUUAACUCGGGAACUGCCUAGGAGACCUCAGGGCUAGAGUACUGAAGGGGUUACUGGAAUUCCAUGUGUAGCGGUGAAAUGCGUAGAUAUAUGGAGGAACACCUGUGGCGAAGGCGGGUAACUGGUCAGAGACUGACGCUGAGAAACGAAAGCGUGGGGAGCAAACAGG